CUGCUGCCUUCCGUAGGGGUCUGGUCCGUGUCUCAGUACCAGUGUGGGGGACCUUCCUCUCAGAACCCCUACGCAUCGUUGCCUUGGUGGGCCGUUACCCCGCCAACAAGCUAAUGCGCCGCAUGCCCAUCCUCCGCCGGAAUCGCUUCCUUUUAACACCCGUGGGAUGCCCCACAGAUGUACCACGCGGUAUUAGUCCGGAUUUCUCCGGGUUAUCCCCCUGCGGAGGGCAGGUUGCAUACGUGUUACUCACCCGUGCGCCGGUCGCCGG
rnacentral:rRNA from 1 species